rnacentral:rRNA from 1 species
UACGGAGGGUGCGAGCGUUGUCCGGAAUCAUUGGGCGUAAAGGGCGCGUAGGUGGCCCGGUCAGUUCGUGGUGAAAGCGCGGGGCUCAACCCUGCGUCGGCCAUGAAUACUGCCGCGGCUGGAGCACUGUAGAGGCAGGCGGAAUUCCGGGUGUAGCGGUGAAAUGCGUAGAUAUCGUAAGGAAGACCAGUGGCGAAGGCGGGUCUCUGGACAGUUCCUGACGCUGAGGCACGAAGGCCAGGGGAGCAAACGGG